rnacentral:lncRNA from 1 species
CAACAACGGGGGUAGUAGCUUUGGAUGGUUUGCAACUAGUUUGUCUGAGACUAGUUUCUUCGCUUAAAGACUUGGCUAUGGUUGAUAGGCUCCAAGAAAUGGUGUUCAGAAAACUCAGACAACUUCAAGAUCGAAUUGAAAGCCAAGUCAACAUGAUAGAGUUUGUUCUAUUUAUUUCAAUCACUCAAACUAAGGAGUUACUAUCCAAUUUUCCAGGUUUACCAACGCACUAUUUGAGGCAUGUUCCCAAAGAGAGAUCAAAUAGGAUUAUUUGUAUGGCACGAUAUCAAACUGAAUCUAAUGGGCUAGAAAAUAUCAUCUGAUUUUUUUGAUGGAA